rnacentral:rRNA from 1 species
CGUGUAGGCGGUUUAGUAAGUCAGAUGUGAAAGCCCUGGGCUCAACCCGGGAAGUGCAUUUGAAACUGCUUUACUUGAGUAUGGGAGAGGAGAGUGGAAUUCCUGGUGUAGAGGUGAAAUUCGUAGAUAUCAGGAGGAACAUCUGUGGCGAAGGCGACUCUCUGGACCAAUACUGACGCUGAGACGCGAAAGCGUGGGUAGCAAACAGGAUUAGAUACCCUGGUAGUCC